rnacentral:rRNA from 1 species
GGUUAAGCGACUAAGCGUACACGGUGGAUGCCCUGGCAGUCAGAGGCGAUGAAGGACGUGCUAAUCUGCGAUAAGCGUCGGUGAGGUGAUAUGAACCGUUAUAACCGGCGAUUUCCGAAUGGGGAAACCCAGUGUGUUUCGACACACUAUCAUUAACUGAAUCCAUAGGUUAAUGAGGCGAACCGGGGGAACUGAAACAUCUAAGUACCCCGAGGAAAAGAAAUCAACCGAGAUUCCCCCAGUAGCGGCGAGCGAACGGGGAGGAGCCCAGAGCCUGAAUCAGUGUGUGUGUUAGUGGAAGCGUCUGGAAAGGCGUGCGAUACAGGGUGACAGCCCCGUACACAAAAAUGCACAUAUUGUGAGCUCGAUGAGUAGGGCGGGACACGUGGUAUCCUGUCUGAAUAUGGGGGGACCAUCCUCCAAGGCUAAAUACUCCUGACUGACCGAUAGUGAACCAGUACCGUGAGGGAAAGGCGAAAAGAACCCCGGCGAGGGGAGUGAAAAAGAACCUGAAACCGUGUACGUACAAGCAGUGGGAGCCUCUUAAUGGGGUGACUGCGUACCUUUUGUAUAAUGGGUCAGCGACUUAUAUUCUGUAGCAAGGUUAACCGAAUAGGGGAGCCGAAGGGAAACCGAGUCUUAACUGGGCGUUAAGUUGCAGGGUAUAGACCCGAAACCCGGUGAUCUAGCCAUGGGCAGGUUGAAGGUUGGGUAACACUAACUGGAGGACCGAACCGACUAAUGUUGAAAAAUUAGCGGAUGACUUGUGGCUGGGGGUGAAAGGCCAAUCAAACCGGGAGAUAGCUGGUUCUCCCCGAAAGCUAUUUAGGUAGCGCCUCGUGAAUUCAUCUCCGGGGGUAGAGCACUGUUUCGGCAAGGGGGUCAUCCCGACUUACCAACCCGAUGCAAACUGCGAAUACCGGAGAAUGUUAUCACGGGAGACACACGGCGGGUGCUAACGUCCGUCGUGAAGAGGGAAACAACCCAGACCGCCAGCUAAGGUCCCAAAGUCAUGGUUAAGUGGGAAACGAUGUGGGAAGGCCCAGACAGCCAGGAUGUUGGCUUAGAAGCAGCCAUCAUUUAAAGAAAGCGUAAUAGCUCACUGGUCGAGUCGGCCUGCGCGGAAGAUGUAACGGGGCUAAACCAUGCACCGAAGCUGCGGCAGCGACACUAUGUGUUGUUGGGUAGGGGAGCGUUCUGUAAGCCUGUGAAGGUGGCCUGUGAGGGUUGCUGGAGGUAUCAGAAGUGCGAAU